CCCAAGGCCAUAGAGCUUCCUCAGGCAAAUUAAUCAGGUGACUGUUUAAACUCUGGUAAAUAUCUAGUAGGAGUCAAAAACUCAGACUGUUUGGUAUAUAAAUAUAAAUGUGAAAAUAUUUGUUAUCUCUUUCUGCUGUUUAAUUUAUUUAAAGAUAGGGCGGACCUGCUAUGGCGGAAUAUAAAGGUCUUUAGCAGCUGCUGAGACACCUUUUCUUAAGAGUCCUUUGUUCUCCGUCAGAGAGGGAAUAAGCCCACUUAGAUGAUAAAAAUUCCUCUGUUUGUAUAAAUGAAGGUUUCAGUUUGCUCUGAUUUGUGAAUUUACUGUAUUAAAUUGAAUUUUAAAGUUCUAAGGUUGAUUUAAAAGUAUCCAUUUAUAACAUUUCAAAGAACAAAAGAACUUUUAUUUACAGCUUCCUUAUCUCUUUUGGUGCUGGGAGACUCCCCUUACAGCUUCACAGGGCGGAGAGAUGUACAGGCCCUGCCCCGGCCUGUGACAUCAUAGUCCAACGUGGAACUAAGGCUGAAGUUACUAUUAACUCUUUAUAGACCCCGUUAACCGUUUGUUUAACUUACUGUUUUCAGUUAUUAGGAUCCUCAGAGAGGACAUAACCUGGACUUUCCCUUCCUCUCUCAUCCUGAUUCUAAUAGCAUCUGUAACUGGAUUAAAAAUCUUUUCUUUCAGGAGGCCAUCCAGGCUUUCAGCUCACAAGAAAUCUUCUCCUGCGAGAGGAGAGAGGGACCCCCCAGAAGGGGCUGGAGGCUCUCCCUCUCAACAGUUUAACCUUUGACUGUGUGAUUGAAUUACGGAGCUUUUAUCAAGGUUUUGCCUCUCCUGAAACAACGCUCCAUGUGUAACCUGUCCCUCCCCGAGCCGGACUGCAGGAUGAUUUUUCCUUCAACACACUGGUCCCGCCCACUGGCCUAUGGCAGAAGCCAGAAAAAGCGACGAUAAGAAAGGGAGGCCCCCAUCAGGGGACUUAGAGGCAGUGUUUCUGUUAUCUGCUUAGAUCCCAAGAAUGGUCAGGAAGAAACUGAAAGCUGGAAUUCAUAACCAUUCCCUUACUCAAGUCCUUACAGGCUCUGCAGUAUACCCAGAGAGCCACCCAUAAGCUUGUUCGUGAUGCUCUGCCAGUGCCCACUGCGGACCCUGUACAUCCCUUCCAGCCCAAGAACUCGGUAUGGGUAAAGAAGGUCACUGCCCAAGGACUCACCCCAACCUGGGAGGGAUGCUACACUGUUAUCCUGAGCACGCCCACGGCUGUUGAAGUAGAUGGCGUCCAGACCUGGCUACACCACUCCCAGCUCCUGCACCAGGAAACGGCCUGGAUCCUGGCAACCAGCGGCCUCACCCGUGAGAUCCCUAGCCUGGGCUCCACGCAGGCCAGGAGGAAUCUCGACACCUGCAGGAGAGGAACUGGAAUUCGCUGUGGACAGUACUGUUGGGGACUGUAGUACUAAAGGCCUUGGCCAGAAGUAAGAGACAAAGUAGAAAUGCAAACCGUCUCAUGAUUGAGCCGGGUGUCCCAAGACAAGGGGGGAAUGAAAGGGCAGAGCAGGACAGCACAAAAUGUACUGUACCCUCCAUCCUGUGUAACUAUGUAUCAGACUCCUUUUUCUUAGAAAACCGCGAGAAUGUAACAAUUGCAUGAACCUGCCAAUAGGAAUGUAGAGAAGUAGAUUCAGUCCAAAUUAGGCAAUCUCUGUAACCCACGUCACUUCCCUAAGCCCACCCAAAUGUCCAACCCUUUAUAAUUCAUCACUCCCCCGGAGUUCGCUCUCUGGCCCCACUGCUGCGUCAGGAGGAGGCUGGGAGCCAAACCCGGGUUUGAAUAAAGACUCUUUGCUUUUGCAUCGGAGAAAAGGCUCCCUAGUGGUUGAUUA